rnacentral:lncRNA from 1 species
GAGAAGAAAAUAAGAAGCUAUAGUGAACAAAAGAAGAAAAAUGAAAAGGUGACCACCAGGAGAAUGAAGUAUAUUGGAGAAUAAAUGUCCCACCGUUUCCUGAUUUCUUGUUGAUGGCCUGGGCUACACCAACAACCUGGUAUAAGGAGAGAAAAGCGACAAUUUUUUUAUUGACUGAAAUUACUUGUAAAAAUUCACCAAAAUGUAUUUAUAGAAGAUAUCCUGCAUGUGCUUUAAAAUAACACUAGUCUACAAAACAAAAGCAAAACCCCUCAUCAGCAUUUGAGCAAGCUUUACAUCAUUUACCACAUUCUUUCAUCCUAAUAAGAAUUCGAAUGUUUUUAAUUUAUUAGGGCCCAAACUAUGUUUGAUCCUGUGAUUUCACCCUGCAUUUUGAAUGAAAU